UUAACUCAAAUUUGUAUGGCGUUGGAAGUUUCGCCUACGUUUGCCGCUAGAGGCGUUGUUUCAAUUACACACAAAUUUGAGUUA
rnacentral:pre_miRNA from 1 species